AUUAUUCUCCUUGGGUGAAGAUAAAGAGGGAUUUGAUGUAAAAUACAUCAAUUCAUUUAAAGGUCGGGGUGUGUUCAGCUGCCAGUGCUUUCAAAAAGGAGAUUUCCUUAUUGAGUGCAGAGGGGAAGUCAUAAGUAGGAAGGAACAAGAAAACCGAUUGAAAAUUUACCAUGAUGCACUCCAGGCUUUUAUGUUUGAUUUCAAGUUCAAUGGACAACAGCUUUGAUUUCCAAAGAUGAAUUGUGUCAGGCUGGUGAUGUGGAAACAUGCGGAUCCUGUUCAACC